ensembl:lncRNA
GCUAAACCUGCUGUAGCAAUCUUCAAGCAAUGUCUUUAUUGACAUUUAUCAUUGUGCCCAUACCUGUGAUGGGGUCACCAAGAACAGUGAGUUAAUUUGACCAUUACAUACAUGUCAAUAAAACUGCUGUAAAAUUAAGAAAUUAACAAAUCUACAUUAGGAGGCUACUACUAGCAUCAACACUACUGUCUCCAUUGUUAUGUAAUACCUGAUUUCUCCAUCAGGGGGUGGGGUCACACCAAAGUGCCAGCACCAUCCUGUGUCCUCAUCCAAAAGACAGCUGUGCAUCUAGUAGAGCUUGGGAAUGGGCUGAUCUACGAAGAUCCCUGCUGCUCGUUCUGCUCAGGGAGAGCUGCCAGAAGGGGCUGCUGUAGCAUUGUUCCAUAGAACCUCAAGAGGGUCAGAGGUCAAGAAUAUGACCAAACACAACAAUGGAGUAAUCAGAGCUGAGGCUCCGGGAGGCCAGCCAAGCCUCUCAUCGUCCUCAUCCGUACAGGGCUGCUCUGCUGUGUUCGCUCUCCUCUCAUCCACAGACGAGGACUCCAUAGGCGCAACCUCAGCUGUGUUGGGUGGACAGCAGCAGGUAACCAGAUCUGUGGAAUCACAACGACCCUUCAGCAAAGUGUG